CUUCCAAACCUUGGUGCACGCAGCACACACCGCACACUGCCUUCUCCUGCCUGGACACACCUCCAGGGUCUACUUGCAUUUUCUCUGUCCUGGAAGGCACUCCCGCCACGAGUUCAGCGACGGAGCAGCGCAGAAGAGAAACCCUCCACUUCUCCCUUCUCUGGUUUCCCCAGAGUUCUGCUACUUACCUGGAGAGCCUGGUGGCUUGUGCUGGCUGCUACACCUCUGAACCUGCACAGUCCCAACCCCAGUAAGGGAAGCGUCUCAGGCAGGCAGAAGCUCUGGGAGCCACUGCCAGGACUGUUGAUCUCACAGCCUCGACAGAAAGGCAGGGAGCCUGCAGCAAGCAGGGGGAGGAGAAGGG
ensembl:lncRNA